rnacentral:rRNA from 1 species
CCUACGGGGGGCAGCAGUGGGGAAUAUUGCACAAUGGGCGCAAGCCUGAUGCAGCCAUGCCGCGUGUGUGAGAAGGCCUUCGGGUUGUAAAGCACUUUCAGCGGGGAGGAAGGCGUUAAGGUUAAUAACCUUGGCGAUUGACGUUCCCCGCAGAAGAAGCACCGGCUAACUCCGUGCCAGCAGCCGCGGUAAUACGGAGGGUGCAAGCGUUAAUCGGAAUUACUGGGCGUAAAGCGCACGCAGGCGGUCUGUCAAGUCGGAUGUGAAAUCCCCGGGCUCAACCUGGGAACUGCAUUCGAAACUGGCAGGCUAGAGUCUUGUAGAGGGGGGUAGAAUUCCAGGUGUAGCGGUGAAAUGCGUAGAGAUCUGGAGGAAUACCGGUGGCGAAGGCGGCCCCCUGGACAAAGACUGACGCUCAGGUGCGAAAGCGUGGGGAGCAAACAGGAUUAGAUACCCGGGUAGUC